AUUAGAUACCCGUGUAGUCCCAGCCCUAAACGAUGCGCGUUAGGUGUAUCGGUGACCACGAGUCACCGAGGUGCCGAAGGGAAACCGUGAAACGUGCCGCCUGGGAAGUACGGUCGCAAGGCUGAACUUAAGGAAUUGCGGGGAGCACAACAACGGGUGGAGCUUGCGGUUUAAUUGGAUUCAACGCCGGAAAUCUUACCGGGACCGACAGCAACAUGAAGGCCAAGCUGAAGACUUUGCCGGAUUAGCUG
rnacentral:rRNA from 1 species